GCCGGAUUAACCACUCAAGACAGUCAGCUCAUCGUUCGAACUCUAUAAUUUGCUUGAUCAUUUUACGGCUUGACUGGAAGCACAAAGUCUGUCACUGGUAACUGUCUUUAGCUAAACAUGGCAAGAACUCCUUUUAGUUUGUUAGAAGAGACUGAAACACGUAAGCCUUCGAAAGUACGUUUGGCUGUCAUCGUGUUGUUUGUAGUACUGCUUGUUCUGACUGUGGUUUUCAUUUCGCUGUAUGCUGUUGAGAGAAAUAAAUCCAGUAACGAGGGAAGCACGUCCACGAAACAGCAGGCGAAUGACACAAAUCCUACCGCAAGUCAAGCAACAGGCAAGCAAAGGCAUUCAACAACUGCGAAACCAACCCCAUCAACUAAGACCUGUACUUCUCCAGCUU